AGAGUUUGAUCAUGGCUCAGAACGAACGCUGGCGGCGUGCCUAACACAUGCAAGUCGUGCGGGAAAGUGGGGGAAACUCCAUAAGUACAGCGGCGCACGGGUGAGUAACACGUAGGUAACCUACCUUCGAGACUGGGAUAACCUAUCGAAAGAUGGGCUAAUACCAGAUAAGACCACGGGGGUUGCGACUCCUGAGGUAAAUGGUGGCCUCUGCUUGCAAGCUACCACUUGAGGAUGGGCCUGCGCGCCAUUAGCUAGUUGGCGGGGUAAUAGCCCACCAAGGCAAAGAUGGCUAGCUGGUCUGAGAGGAUGACCAGCCACACUGGGACUGAGACACGGCCCAGACUCCUACGGGAGGCAGCAGUGGGGAAUAUUGCGCAAUGGGCGAAAGCCUGACGCAGCGACGCCGCGUGGGUGAUGAAGGCCUUCGGGUCGUAAAGCCCUGUCGGGAGGGACGAAACCUCGGUGAUCUAAUAUCUCACCGACCUGACGGUACCUCCGAAGGAAGCACCGGCUAACUCCGUGCCAGCAGCCGCGGUAAUACGGAGGGUGCGAGCGUUGUUCGGAAUCACUGGGCGUAAAGCGCGUGUAGGCGGCCUUGUAAGUCUGGUGUGAAAGCCCGGGGCUUACCCCCGGAAGUGCACUGGAGACUGCAAGGCUAGAGUACCGGAGAGGAAAGUGGAAUUCCUGGUGUAGCGGUGAAAUGCGUAGAUAUCAGGAGGAACACCGGUGGCGAAGGCGGCUUUCUGGACGGAUACUGACGCUGAGACGCGAAAGCGUGGGGAGCAAACAGGAUUAGAUACCCCAGUAGUCC
rnacentral:rRNA from 1 species